GAACAAAACAAAAAAUAAAGAAAUUAUAACAUUUAUGAAUAAUUCGAAUUUGUUAAAAUUUUGUUUUUUUCUUAUUAUAAAAAAAAUAAGAAAUAUUUGGAUUGAAAAGGAGUUUUUAAAUAGGGUUAUAGCAGAUAUUAAUUUAAGUAGUAAAACAAAAAAUUUAAUAAAUAAAAAUAGUUUUAUUUAUAUUUUAGAAUUUAUACAUUACAUUGGAUUAAAUAAUAUAAAAGAUUUUAGUAAAAAUAAUGAUAAAAAUUAUAUUAUAGAGAAUAAAAAAACGGAUAUAUGGCACCAAUUUGAAAUGUUACAAAAUGUUUAUAAUAAAGUGUUAAACUAUUUAAUCUAUGAUUUAUUGUUAAAUAAAGAAGAAGUAAUGAAUAUAUUCAAAUUGAAUGAUAAAUAUUUAUAUUUUAAUAAAAUAUUGUUUGAUUUUAUUAAUAGUUCAAUAACAAUCAAUUUUUGGGAAUAUAAUGAGCAUGAUCUUACAUAUAUAUGUAAAUAUUUAAACAAAUUAUUAUUUUAUUUUUCUUUAAAAUUAUAUAAUAAUGUUAAAUAUGAUCAAAUAACACAUAGAUUAAUUAAACGCUAUAUAUGUAAAAGCAUCGUUUUUGGAAAUGAUUCAUCUGUAUAUAACACCAUAUUAAAUGAACAACAACAACAACAAUCACAGUUACAUAAUCAGCUGGAGUAUAUAUAUGUGCCAAAAGAGAACAAUAGCUGUAAAGAUGAAGGGAGUUUAAACUGGACUGGAACUGGAACUGGGAUUGGAACUGGGAUUGGAAAUGGGAUUGGAAAUGGGAUUGGAAAUGGGAUUGGAAAUGGGAUUGGAACUGGGAUUGGAACUGGGAUUGGAACUGGAACUGGAACUGGAACUGGGAUUGGAACUGGAACUGGGAUUGGAACUGGAAAUGGAACUAUUAAUAAGAAAACAAUUUUAAACGAUACAACACAAAUUGUUUCAUUCAAAAAAUAUAUAAAAAAUAGCUCAUUUGUUAAUACAUUAAAUAAAGAAUUAAAAAUAUGUAUUCAUGAAUAUAAGUAUUAUAAUUUAAUUGAUAUGUUUGAAUUUUAUACAUUGUUUGAAAUAAAAAAUAAAAAUAUGAUAGAUAGGUUUAUUAACGAAACGGACAAAUAUAUUAAUAUUAUGAAAUAUGGAUACCAUGCCAAAUCUAUUAUUUUAUUUAGUUUGAAUAAAAAAUAUUUGGCAAUAGAAAAUGAGAAAAGUAUAAGAAGAUUAGUUAGACGUAUACCACAUAUUUUAAAUUUUUAUUGGCCAACUGAGUUUAUUAUAGAAAGUAUUGUAGCAUGUUGUUUUGUGUUGCCUUCUAAUAACAAUAAUGGCGAUAAUGGUCAUAAUAGCAACCACAAAGUUUUUAAGCAUUUAUUUUUAUAUUUAAAAAAUAAUAUAAAAAAAUGUUUACACCCAGUUAUAAUUAUCAAUUUAUUAAAAUCAUUGGCAACUAUUAACAAAACAAACUUUACAUUGUUAAACCAAAUUUUACAAUACAUAAAAAAAAAAAAUAAAACAAAUAAAAUACAUACUAAGUAUAUUAUACAUAUAUUAAAAUACAUGUCAUUGUUAAAUUAUAAAGAUUAUAAUUUUUUUUAUUCUUUUAUUUGUUCAGAUACAAUUUUAAAAAAUAUUGGUAACUUAUCAAAUCCUGACUUAAUUUUAUUUUUAAAUUUAAUACAAUACUAUUACAAUUUUUUAGAAAAAAAAAAUAAUGUAUAUAUAAAAUAUGAUGGUUAUAAUAAAAUACAUAUACAAUCCAAUUUGGUAUAUUUUUACAUAGAUUAUGUUUUAUUUCUUAUAUUAAACAGAAGUAAUUUUUUAAAUGGGUCCACUAUUAAUUUGUUUGAUCAGGCGAGUGAAAUGAGUAAGACGAGUGAGACAAAUAAGAUGAGUAAGACCAGUGAC
ensembl:lncRNA